rnacentral:misc_RNA from 1 species
CAAAAGUUAUACACUUGGGGAAAGGACUCGUCUCUCGGGACUUGAGGCCUGACUCCAUUUGUAACACAACUUUCAACCACUUGUGAACAUGUAAUAAUUAUAUCUCACCAAUUGACUGUUAACGAAGUCUGAUUCAAAUUGUAUUGGUGUUAAUAGACACUAGUAAAAUAUGAAA